CGUCGCCACGGCGCGCGGUCUGCGGCGUGGUGCUGCUGCUCGGGUUCUCACAGGGGGACCUCCGUCGGUUCCUCGCCGGCGGCGUCGUC
rnacentral:tRNA from 1 species